rnacentral:rRNA from 1 species
GAUGAACGCUGGCGGCGUGCCUAAUACAUGCAAGUCGAGCGAACGGACGAGAAGCUUGCUUCUCUGAUGUUAGCGGCGGACGGGUGAGUAACACGUGGAUAACCUACCUAUAAGACUGGGAUAACUUCGGGAAACCGGAGCUGAUACCGGAUAAUAUUUUGAACCGCAUGGUUCAAAAGUGAAAGACGGUCUUGCUGUCACUUAUAGAUGGAUCCGCGCUGCAUUAGCUAGUUGGUAAGGUAACGGCUUACCAAGGCAACGAUGCAUAGCCGACCUGAGAGGGUGAUCGGCCACACUGGAACUGAGACACGGUCCAGACUCCUACGGGAGGCAGCAGUAGGGAAUCUUCCGCAAUGGGCGAGAGCCUGACGGAGCAACGCCGCGUGAGUGAUGAAGGUCUUCGGAUCGUAAAACUCUGUUAUUAGGGAAGAACAUAUGUGUAAGUAACUGUGCACAUCUUGACGGUACCUAAUCAGAAAGCCACGGCUAACUACGUG